rnacentral:sRNA from 1 species
GUCGACGAUCCCACGGACCAGAUGCUCAACAGCGUCAACGACGACGGCGCUCAUUUCCCCGUCAGCUUUCCGCCGUCAG